CGUUGAAACACUGGUUCUCGUAUGAUCAUCGAAGUUAAGCAACAUCGAGUCAGGUCAGUACCGAAAUGGGUGACCGCUUGGAAAUACCAGAUGCUGUAAG